rnacentral:rRNA from 1 species
UAACGAUAAAGCGGGUGAAAAGCCCGCUCGCCGGAAGACCAAGGGUUCCUGUCCAACGUUAAUCGGGGCAGGGUGAGUCGACCCCUAAGGCGAGGCCGAAAGGCGUAGUCGAUGGGAAACAGGUUAAUAUUCCUGUACUUGGUGUUACUGCGAAGGGGGGACGGAGAAGGCUAUGUUGGCCGGGCGACGGUUGUCCCGGUUUAAGCGUGUAGGCUGGUUUUCCAGGCAAAUCCGGAAAAUCAAGGCUGAGGCGUGAUGACGAGGCACUACGGUGCUGAAGCGACAAAUGCCCUGCUUCCAGGAAAAGCCUCUAAGCAUCAGGUAACAUCAAAUCGUACCCCAAACCGACACAGGUGGUCAGGUAGAGAAUACCAAGGCGCUUGAGAGAACUCGGGUGAAGGAACUAGGCAAAAUGGUGCCGUAACUUCGGGAGAAGGCACGCUGAUAUGUAGGUGAAGCGACUUGCUCGUGGAGCUGAAAUCAGUCGAAGAUACCAGCUGGCUGCAACUGUUUAUUAAAAACACAGCACUGUGCAAACACGAAAGUGGACGUAUACGGUGUGACGCCUGCCCGGUGCCGGAAGGUUAAUUGAUGGGGUUAGCGGUAACGCGAAGCUCUUGAUCGAAGCCCCGGUAAACGGCGGCCGUAACUAUAACGGUCCUAAGGUAGCGAAAUUCCUUGUCGGGUAAGUUCCGACCUGCACGAAUGGCGUAAUGAUGGCCAGGCUGUCUCCACCCGAGACUCAGUGAAAUUGAACUCGCUGUGAAGAUGCAGUGUACCCGCGGCAAGACGGAAAGACCCCGUGAACCUUUACUAUAGCUUGACACUGAACAUUGAGCCUUGAUGUGUAGGAUAGGUGGGAGGCUUUGAAGUGUGGACGCCAGUCUGCAUGGAGCCGACCUUGAAAUACCACCCUUUAAUGUUUGAUGUUCUAACGUGGGCCCCUUACCGGGGUUGCGGACAGUGUCUGGUGGGUAGUUUGACUGGGGCGGUCUCCUCCUAAAGAGUAACGGAGGAGCACGAAGGUUGGCUAAUCCUGGUCGGACAUCAGGAGGUUAGUGCAAUGGCAUAAGCCAGCUUGACUGCGAGCGUGACGGCGCGAGCAGGUGCGAAAGCAGGUCAUAGUGAUCCGGUGGUUCUGAAUGGAAGGGCCAUCGCUCAACGGAUAAAAGGUACUCCGGGGAUAACAGGCUGAUACCGCCCAAGAGUUCAUAUCGACGGCGGUGUUUGGCACCUCGAUGUCGGCUCAUCACAUCCUGGGGCUGAAGUAGGUCCCAAGGGUAUGGCUGUUCGCCAUUUAAAGUGGUACGCGAGCUGGGUUUAGAACGUCGUGAGACAGUUCGGUCCCUAUCUGCCGUGGGCGCUGGAGAACUGAGGGGGGCUGCUCCUAGUACGAGAGGACCGGAGUGGACGCAUCACUGGUGUUCGGGUUGUCAUGCCAAUGGCACUGCCCGGUAGCUAAAUGCGGAAGAGAUAAGUGCUGAAAGCAUCUAAGCACGAAACUUGCCCCGAGAUGAGUUCUCCCUGACUCCUUGAGAGUCCUGAAGGAACGUUGAAGACGACGACGUUGAUAGGCCGGGUGUGUAAGCGCAGCGAUGCGUUGAGCUAACCGGUACUAAUGAACCGUGAGGCUUAACCUU